GACAGAGGAUGCAAGCGUUAUCCGGAAUGAUUGGGCGUAAAGCGUCUGUAGGUGGCUUUUUAAGUCUGCCGUCAAAUCCCAGGGCUUAACCCUGGACAGGCGGUGGAAACUACCAAGCUGGAGUACGGUAGGGGUAGAGGGAAUUCCCGGUGUAGCGGUGAAAUGCGUAGAUAUCGGGAAGAGCACCAGUGGCGAAGGCGCUCUACUGGGCCACAACUGACGCUGAGGGACGAAAGCUAGGGGAGCGAAAGGG
rnacentral:rRNA from 1 species